rnacentral:rRNA from 1 species
UACGUAGGUGGCAAGCGUUGUCCGGAUUUACUGGGUGUAAAGGGCGUGUAGGCGGGCUGUCAAGUCAGAUGUGAAAUCUAUGGGCUCAACCCAUAACGUGCAUUUGAAACUGACGGUCUUGAGUGAUGGAGAGGCAGGCGGAAUUCCUAGUGUAGCGGUGAAAUGCGUAGAUAUUAGGAGGAACACCAGUGGCGAAGGCGGCCUGCUGGACAUUAACUGACGCUGAGGCGCGAAAGCGUGGGGAG